GAUUCCUUGGCCGAAAUAAAAGCAUAUGUCUUGAAAACAUAUUAUAGAAAUUAAUAAUUCUAGGAAUCU
rnacentral:tRNA from 1 species